rnacentral:rRNA from 1 species
AUGGCAGAAUGCUUCAAUAAGGUGCUCAAGGGUGUACGUGCAUUACCCGUGACGGCAAUAGUUCAAUACACAUUUGACAAGAUGAAUGGAUACUUUAAGUACUCAAUGGAGACGGAUAAGCAGAUUGCUGGUGAGAACAAGGAUAAGCACAAGUACUAUUUCCCACCAAAGGUUGAAGAAUGGUUGGACUUUCAAUCACGUAAGGCAGACUCCCAAGAAGCUGUACUAUAUGACGACAACGAGUGGAAGUAUGAGGUCAAAGAGCCUCGAGGAACCACAAACGAUGGCCACCAACACGGAGGCCGCGCUUUCAAGGUCUCCCUAACACAGUGUGAUUGCAGCUGCAUGAGGCCAUCGUUGCUUCAUCUCCCAUGCUCGCACUUGUUAAACGCAUCCCGUGUUAGGAAUGUGGACGUCAAUCACCCUCUUACCGUGAGGGAGUCCGAGUUCUCAAUCAUGACGGUAAAGAAUACGUGGGCUCCCCGGUUUCAGCCAUACUUGGACCAAUCACAAUGGCCGGAGUAUCAUGGAGUUCAACUAUGACCGGACCCG